rnacentral:rRNA from 1 species
CCUACGGGAGGCAGCAGUGGGGAAUACUGGGCAAUGGAGGAAACUCUGACCCAGCGACGCCGCGUGCGGGAUGAAGGCCUUCGGGUUGUAAACCGCUUUCAGUAGGGAAGAAGCGAAAGUGACGGUACCUACAAAAGAAGCACCGGCUAACUAUGUGCCAGCAGCCGCGGUAAUACAUAGGGUGCAAGCGUUGUCCGGAAUUAUUGGGCGUAAAGAGCUCGUAGGUCGUUUGUUACGUCGGAUGUGAAAACCUGAGGCUCAACCUCAGGCCUGCAUUCGAUACGGGCAAACUAGAGUUUGGUAGGGGAGACUGGAAUUCCUGGUGUAGCGGUGGAAUGCGCAGAUAUCAGGAGGAACACCAAUGGCGAAGGCAGGUCUCUGGGCCAAUACUGACACUGAGGAGCGAAAGUCUGGGGAGCGAACAGGAUUAGAUACCCUGGUAGUCCAGACCGUAAACGGUGGGCACUAGUUGUGGGAACCUUCCACGGUUUCUGCGACGCAGCUAACGCAUUGAGUGCCCCGCCUGGGGAGUACGAUCGCAAGAUUAAAACUCAAAUGAAUUGACGG